rnacentral:rRNA from 3 species
UGUCCACUGAACCUUAUCAUUUAGAGGAAGGAGAAGUCGUA